rnacentral:rRNA from 1 species
GACGAACGCUGGCGGCGUGCUUAACACAUGCAAGUCGUGCGGAAAGGCCCCUUUUGGGGGUGCUCGAGCGGCGAACGGGUGAGUAACACGUGAGUAACCUGCCCUGCGCUGGGGGAUAACCCUCGGAAACGGGGGCUAAUACCGGAUGGUCACAUGGGUUCGCAUGAGUCUGUGUGGAAAGGGAUCUUCGGGUUUUGGCGUGGGAUGGCUCGCGGCCUAUCAGCUUGUUGGUGGGGUGAUGGCCACCAAGGCGAGGACGGGUAGCCGGCC